UACGAAGGGGCUAGCGUUGCUCGGAAUUACUGGGCGUAAAGCGCACGUAGGCGGUCUUUAAGUCGGGGUGAAAUCCUGGAGCUCAACUCCAGAACUGCCUUCGAUACUGGAAGACUCGAGUCCGGGAGAGGUGAGUGGAACUGCGAGUGUAGAGGUGAAAUUCGUAGAUAUUCGCAAGAACACCAAGUGGCGAAGGCGGCUCACUGGCCCGGUACUGACGCUGAGGUGCGAAAGCGUGGGAGCAACAGGG
rnacentral:rRNA from 1 species